CGGCGUGCCUAAUACAUGCAAGUCGAGCGAUGAGGCUCCUUCGGGAGUCAUCGGCGGCGAACGGGUGAGUAACACGUGGGUGACUUGCCCCGAAGAUGGGGAUAACCUCUGGAAACGGGGGCUAAUACCCAAUGUGCUCGGUGAUUCGGUUCAUCGAGUAAAGCUCCGGCGCUUCGGGAGAGGCCUGCGGCCCAUCAGCUAGUUGGUAGGGUAACGGCCUACCAAGGCAGAGACGGGUAGGGGGUGUGAGAGCACGGCCCCCACAAUGGGACUGAGACACGGCCCAUACUCCUACGGGAGGCAGCAGCAGGGAAUAUUGCACAAUGGACGGAAGUCUGAUGCAGCGACGCCGCGUGAGUGAAGAAGGCCUUCGGGUUGUAAAACUCUUUUGAGGGGGAAGAGCGAGGACGGUACCCCUGGAAUAAGCGUCGGCUAACUACGUGCCAGCAGCCGCGGUAAGACGUAGGACGCGAGCGUUAUCCGGAUUUACUGGGCGUAAAGCGUCUGUAGGCGGAUGUGUAAGUUGGGCGUGAAAGCUCCGGGCUUAACCCGGAGAGGCCGUUCAAUACUGCAUAACUUGAGGGUGUCAGAGGGGAGCGGAAUUCCCGGUGUAGCGGUAAAAUGCGCAGAGAUCGGGAGGAACACCAGUGGCGGAGGCGGUUCCCUGGGGCACACCUGACGCUGAGAGACGAAAGCUAGGGGAGCGAACAGGAUUAGAGACCCUGGUAGUCCUAGCCCUAAACGAUGAAUGCUAGGUGUGGGAUCGAAUGGUUCCGUGCCGGAGCGAACGCGAUAAGCAUUCCGCCUGGGGAGUACGGCCGCAAGGUUAAAACUCAAACGAAUUGACGGGGCCCCGCACAAGCAGCGGAGCGUGUGGUUUAAUUCGAUGCUACACGAAGAACCUUACCUGGGUUUGACAUGUAGGUGGUAGUGAAUCGAAAGGUGAACGACCCUUCGGGGAGCCUACACAGGUGCUGCAUGGCUGUCGUCAGCUCGUGCCGUGAGGUGUCGGGUUAAGUCCCGUAACGAGCGCAACCCUUGCUCCUAGUUACAAGUGUCUAGGGGGACUGCCGGCGGAAAGCCGGAGGAAGGUGGGGAUGACGUCAAGUCAGCAUGGCCCUUAUAUCCAGGGCUACACACACGCUACAAUGGUCGGUACAAAGGGCAGCGAAACCGCGAGGCGGAGCGAAUCCGAGAAAAGCCGAUCGUAGUUCGGAUAGCAGGCUGCAACCCGCCUGCUUGAAGCUGGAGUUGCUAGUAACCGCGCGUCAGCCAUAGCGCGGUGAUACGUUCCCGGGGCUUGUACACACCGCCCGUCACGUCAUGGGAGUCGGUAACGCCUGAA
rnacentral:rRNA from 1 species